rnacentral:rRNA from 1 species
UCGAUUAGCCAUGCGAGUAGAAGAAUUAGAUUCUUUGCGAACUGCUCAGUAACACGUGGAUAUACCUGCCCUAUGCUCUGGAAUAACCUCGGGAAACUGAGAAUAAUACCGGAUAGAUCACAACGCCUGGAACGGUGUGUGGUUGAAAGAUUACGGCAUAGGAUGGGUCUGCGGCGUAUCAGGUUGUAGGGGGUGUAACGGACCUCCUAGCCAUCGACGCGUACGGGUGUUGGGAGACAUAGCCCGGAGAUGGAUUCUGAGACACGAAUCCAGACCCUACGGGGUGCAGCAGGCGCGAAAACUUAACACUGCAGGAAACUGUGAUGAGGGGAACUCCAGUGGGCGCACUUAUGUGCGCUUUUGUUGACUAUUUAUCCGGUCAUUGAAUAAAGGCCGGGGAAAGAACGGGGCCAGCCGCCCCCGGAAAAACGGGAGGUUCAGUGGGCCGCCCUUUUUUUUGGGCCAAAACGUUCCUUACCUGGUUUGGAAAACUGGGGGGAAAUCUAACCCAGCUAAUUGGUUGAAUUUGGAAAAACUGCCCACAUAGGACCCGGAAAGGGUGGGGUAACUCGGGGUUGGGUAAAUCCGGUCUCUCUUAGGACCACCUUGUGAAGGCCCACUGGAAGAUUUUCGGUCGGAGAAACCAGGGCCACACCGAUAUAAUACCCGGUUCUCUAGGUAACACUGUAAUUGUGUGUCGGG